rnacentral:rRNA from 1 species
GUACACGCUGUGACUAGCAUAUCAAUAAGCGGAGGAAAAGAAACUAACAAGGAUUCCCCUAGUAACGGCGAGUGAAGCGGGAAGAGCUCAAAUUUGAAAUCUUAAAGGGUUUCCCUUUACGAAUUGUAGUUUAAAGAGGUGUUUUCUGUUGAGGUUUUGGUAAAAGUUCUUUGGAAUAGGACAUCAUAGAGGGUGAGAAUCCCGUAUUUGACCUUUACUUUCAGCUUUGUGAUACACUUUCAAAGAGUCGGAUUGUUUGGGAAUGCAGUCCAAAAUGGGUGGUAAAUUUCAUCUAAAGCUAAAUAUUGGCGAGAGACCGAUAGCGAACAAGUACCGUGAGGGAAAGAUGAAAAGAACUUUGAAAAGAGAGUUAAACAGUACGUGAAAUUGUCAAAAGGGAAGCGUUUGACACCAGUGUUGUUUUUCUGAAAAUCAAUUAAAGAACUGUUUAUGCUAAGCUGUUUAGACUUUAUCAGCUAUCUGUUUAGUUUUGAGCUUUUCUUUAAUGCACUUUUCAGUUAACAAGUCAACAUCAAUUUCUUUUGCUGUAAAAAAGCUUGAGGAAGGUGGCUUGAGAUUCGUCUUAAGUGUUUAUAGCCUCUUGCCUAUGCAGUCGGAGAGAUUGAGGUCUGCAGCGUAGAUCCUCCGGGGCUAAAUGCAUUUGUGCUAAGUUAUAACAUUUUAUAGACAACUUGUUGACUAUGAUUUGUCUUGUAGCUUACUCGCUUAUGUUAUUUUACCUACGCUUAGGAUGUUGACGCGCGUGUGUGCGUG